rnacentral:rRNA from 1 species
GUAGCCUCGAGAAGGUCACUGAGAUACUGGACCUAGCCCUACGGGGUGCAGCAGGCGCGAAACCUUUACAAUGCGCUAACGCGUGAUAAGGGUACUCCAAGUGCUUAUGCUUUGCAUAGGCUUUUGCUAAGGGCGAAAACCUUGGCGAAUAAGUGGUGGGAAAGACUGGUGCCAGCAGCCGCGGUAACCCCAGCGCCACAAGUGGUGAUCGGUUUUAUUGGGCCUAAAGCAUUCGUAGCUGGUUGAAACAGUUUCUUGUGAAAUCGGGACGCUUAACGUACCGGACUGCAGGAAAUACUAUUCAACUUGGGAUUGGGAGGAGCAAGAGGAAUUUUGGGGGAAGCGGUAAAAUGCUAUAAUCCCUAAAAGACCACCGAUGGCGAAGGCAUCUUGCUAGAACAAAUCCGACAGUCAGGAAUGAAAGCUAGGGGAGCAAACCGGAUUAGAUACCCGAGUAGUCCUAGCCGUAAACGCUGUGAGUUAGGUGUUGCGUAUUCUUAGGGAAUAUGCAGUAUCGUAGUGAAGACGUUAAACUCACCGCCUGGGAAGUAUGGUCGCAAGACUGAAACU